rnacentral:lncRNA from 1 species
CAGAAGAUCCUGUCAUGAGGAGAAAACCCACACGGUUUGAAAGAAACCCAGGGGCAGGGCUCUUGAGAGGCCUAGAAACACCGUCCAGCUGGUGCCAGCUCAGUACCCAACUGAAGCACAGGCUCUGGAGAUGGAAAGAUACAUUGGUUCUCCACGAUUGUUUAAAGCCUCUUCAGCAGAUCAUGAAAAGAGACAGUCUGCAGAUGAAUGAGAACAGGUGUGUUGGGGGUGAAACGGCAAAGUACUGGAUGAAAGCCUGGAUUAGACAGACCCCAGAUGCACCACUGGCCUUCCCUGCCCCCCGGUAACCUGACCUGGCAUCUAAAUCCAAUCCCAUUCCCUGCUGUUGCAUUUAUAUUGGAAGAGAAUUGGGAGAUAUUUGGUAAAUAAAGUUAUCUUUAUUGCUAAAAGACUGUGGAGGGGCUCAGUGGCCACCAGGAGCUUUGGAGGUCCUCCUGCAUAGUAGAUGCUCUUCAAGUAUUUGUUGGUUUUUUU